rnacentral:rRNA from 1 species
GACGAACGCUGGCGGCGUGCUUAACACAUGCAAGUCGAGCGGUAAGGCCCUUUCGGGGGUACGACGAGCGGCGAACGGGUGAGUAACACGUGGGUGACCUGCCCUCAGCUCUGGGAGUAAGCCUGGGAAACUGGGUCUAAUACUGGAUAUGACUCCACGGUGCAUGUCGUGGGGUGGAAAGCCUUGUGCGGCUGAGGAUGGGCCCGCGGCCUAUCAGCUUGUUGGUGGGGUGANGGCCUACCAAGGCGACGACGGGUAGCCGGCCUGAGAGGGCGACCGGCCACACUGGGACUGAGACACGGCCCAGACUCCUACGGGAGGCAGCAGUGGGGAAUAUUGCGCAAUGGGCGACAGCCUGACGCAGCGACGCCGCGUGGGGAUGAAGGUCUUCGGAUUGUAAACCCCUUCGGGAGGGAAGAUGGGACGAGCAAUCGUUCGGACGGUACCUCCAGAAGCAGCCACGGCUAACUUCGUGCCAGC